GGCCGCAGUAUAUUGACUGUGCAAAGGUAGCAUAAUCAUUAGUCUUUUAAUUGAAGGCUGGUAUGAAUGGUUGGAUGAGGUAAAUUCUGUUUUAUGUUAAUUUGUGUUGAAUUUAGAUUUUAAGUAAAAAGACUUAGAUGAUAUUAAGGGACGAGAAGACCCUAUAGAGUUUAAUAAAUGUAUUAAUUAGUUGAGUUAUUAAUGUAAUUUUUUAUUAUUAUAAAAUUUAUUUAAUUGGGGUGAUUGAAAGAUAAGUGUAACUCUUUUUUAUAUUUAAUAUUUUGAUUAGUUAUUUGAUCCAUAUUUAAUGAUUAAAAGAUUAAAUUACCUUAGGGAUAACAGCAUAA
rnacentral:rRNA from 1 species